rnacentral:rRNA from 1 species
AGACUGGAAUCGCUAGUAAUCGCGGAUCAGAAUGCCGCGGUGAAUACGUUCCCGGGCCUUGUACACACCGCCCGUCACACCAUGGGAGCCGGUAAUACCCGAAGUCAGUAGUCCAACCACGUGAGGACGCUGCCGAAGGUAGGAUUGGCGACUGGGGUGAAGUCGUAACAAGGUAGC